rnacentral:rRNA from 1 species
UGAGUAGGCGGUUGCAUAUGUCAGAUGUAAAAGGCACAGGCUCAACUUGUGUUAGCAUUUGAAACUGUGCGACUUGAGUGCAGGAGAGGUAAGUGGAAUUCCUAGUGUAGCGGUGAAAUGCGUAGAUAUUAGGAGGAACACCAGUGGCGAAGGCGACUUACUGGACUGUAACUGACGCUGAGUCACGAAAGCGUGGGUAGCAAACA